rnacentral:rRNA from 1 species
GGCCGCGAAAGCCAGGCCUUCAUAUUUUGUUGUGUAAUGAUCCCUUCCGUAGGUGAACCUGCGGAGGGAUCAUUACACAACAAAAUAUGAAGGCCUGGCUUUCGCGGCCGGCUGAAGUAUUUUUUUCACCCAUGUCUUUUGCGCACUUGUUGUUUCCUGGGCGGGUUCGCCCGCCACCAGGACCAAACCAUAAACCUUUUUUUCUUAUGCAGUUUCCAUCAGCGUCAGUAAAAACAAUGUAAUUAUUACAACUUUCAACAACGGAUCUCUUGGUUCUGGCAUCGAUGAAGAACGCAGCGAAAUGCGAUACGUAGUGUGAAUUGCAGAAUUCAGUGAAUCAUCGAAUCUUUGAACGCACAUUGCGCCCUUUGGUAUUCCAAAGGGCAUGCCUGUUCGAGCGUCAUUUGUACCUUCAAGCUUUGCUUGGUGUUGGGCGUUUUUUUGUCUCCCUCUUUCUGGGAGACUCGCCUUAAAACGAUUGGCAGCCGGCCUACUGGUUUCGGAGCGCAGCACAUUUUUUGCGCUUUGUAUCAGGAGAAAAGGACGGUACUCCAUCAAGACUCUACAUUUUUCACUUUUGACCUCGGAUCAGGUAGGGAUACCCGCUGAACUUAAGCAUAUCAAUAAGCGGAGGAA